CAAAUUAGAGCUUGUUAAAGUUUUUUAUUUACACUAAAAAGAAAAUUAUUAAUUUAAUUUAAUUU
rnacentral:tRNA from 1 species